UGGGGAAUAUUGCGCAAUGGGCGAAAGCCUGACGCAGCGACGCCGCGUGAGGGAUGAAGGUUUUCGGAUCGUAAACCUCUGUCAGAAGGGAAGAAACCGCACUGUGCUAAUCAGCAGUGCCUUGACGGUACCUUCAAAGGAAGCACCGGCUAACUCCGUGCCAGCAGCCGCGGUAAUACGGAGGGUGCAAGCGUCAAUCGGAAUUACUGGGCGUAAAGCGCACGUAGGCUGCUUUGUAAGUCAGGGGUGAAAUCCCACGGCUCAACCGUGGAACUGCCUUUGAUACUGCUUAGCUUGAAUCCGGGAGAGGGUGGCGGAAUUCCAGGUGUAGGAGUGAAAUCCGUAGAUAUCUGGAGGAACAUCAGUGGCGAAGGCGGCCACCUGGACCGGUAUUGACGCUGAGGUGCGAAAGCGUGGGGAGCAAACAGG
rnacentral:rRNA from 1 species